UCCCUCCCUCCCUCUUUCUGUGGACGGUCUGUAACCGAAGCAGUUCCUCAAAAGGAGAAAGAAAACCCUGCCACUUCUGAUCAGACAAAUCGAACAGCAGAGGAGUUGAGGCAUAACUUUCACCACAACGUGGAUUCAGCUUCAGAACUUCAUUAAGCAGAGAGCUUUGGCAGAGGCAGCGGACAACAUGGAGGUAAAAGAAGCAGCCUCAGUGAAACCCAUCGAUCAGUCCCCCUGUCUGUGUGCUGGUGAGCAGGACUAUGUUGACAGGAGGAAAAGGGUCGUUCUGGAGUCACUCAACAGCCUGGGAAUCAACUGUUCUGCAGACUGGGUUCCCCACAUCGCUCUGCUGCCAUCAGGUGGGGGUCAGAGGGCAGCCGUGGGUCUGAUGGGUUCCCUCUCUCCAGAUGGAAAGGAUG